UUCAUUGUUUUUUUCGUUGUUGUUAUUGUUGUUGGUUUGUUGCCCCAUCCACCCCCCUCGCCCUCCGCCAUUCAUACAAUCCUCACUAAAUAAUGGUAGCCAUGCGAUGGAAGCGUUCAGGCAGAGCGGGCGUACAGAUUGAGCGUAGCCACACACGACGAAUUGAGGCACUGGUUCGGAAGGAAGGCUAAAAUAGAUAUCGGGUCCAGAUCGGGCGAAGGGUUUUGAAGCGGCCACCGAGUGCCGGAGCUAUCGUAGGCUAAGGGCCUAGGCCAGCAAUAACGCACACAGGACCGUUUCGCCUCGCCUGUGUGGCUGUAUCUGUGUGGGUGGGAGAGAAGCUCAGAAGUAGCACGGUCAGGCUGCAGGUGUAGCAGGUUGCCCGACACACCGAAAGCGUUCAGUCAUCUUCUGGCGCACAAGGCGUCGCUAAUGUUUUGGUUGUCUGGAUGGUGUGCACGGUUUUUAAGGUUCCUUCGCUUUCUAGCUGGUGUUGAAUACUGGAUAGAUAUUCGGGGACAGCUGGGAAAGCACGGGACGAGGGCUCUGUAACAGGAGUUUUUGUUUUCUUUCCUUCGUUAGAGUGUGUUUAUUUACUUAUUUUAUCGUGUAGAUAUAUGUGUGUGUGUGUGUAUGUGUGUACGUUCGGGGCAGAGUGAACCUGCCGAACCUGGAGAGGUGUGUGCAGGUGGAGGGCAAGCGCGCGCGCGCGUGUUUGUGUGUAUGUGUCUGAUUGGAGUGUGUGCUAUUCUGUUUGGGGGAGAACAAAAACACUGGAGUGGAGUUGUUUGGGCAUCGUAAGAAUGGUCUGAAUGUUGUCCAGGUAGGCACAGGAUGAUACACCAGACCGUUUGGGUGCUGUAGGCUCCACUAGUUGGAAGGAAGACUCGGAAGUCUCCAAAGUACCUCCCUGUCACGAACUUGUAAGAUCGGUUCCGUUGCAAGAGGAUCAACUACGAGAUAUGUGUAGUGCUAAGGGUGUGUUAUUAUUGCACGGUUGGUGAGCAGAAUGCAGCCGUGCAGGCGUGCAGUGGCCGUGGUGCGGUGUGUGAGUAAAGUUUGGCCGCAGGCGAACCGUGCCUGAACAGCACUGGCAAAACUGGAUGCAGUGGCAAGAUUUGGCAGUGCGAAUCCGACGACGACCCGACGACGACCAAAGCAGUAACGCAAAACCCGUUUUCGGAACAAAUCUCAGGACUUCAAUCAAUCAAGCGAUCCCGAAUCAACCCCGGGCCGCUCAUCGUCACACAUUGCGGCCGGCGUGUGUAAAUGUGUGCCUGUUUGGGCGCUUGUACACGCCACCACCACCAUCAUCAGCACUACCUGCAAACAGCGUCGUAGAUUGACAGGUUUCGACUGAAUCGACCGUGCCGCGCUAUACGGACGAGGCGCAACCGCAUGCCGAACGUGCGCUGAGGGCGAGCCGUUACCAUAGAUGCUCGCCCACCGUCACCCUACCGCAAGGUAAGUACACCAGAUGUGUCUACGGCACACAGCGACGUGCGCCAGACAACGGGAGCCCAACGAGUGCCCGAAAGGCCCUAGCCUGCAUUCCGGAACCACUCGACUGAAAUGCUUGCCGGUUUCUGCUCCGUUCUGGUACUGUCUUCUCCCGUACGCCUAGCAUUCGUUACUGUGGCUUUCCUUUAAAUGGUGCACGGGGAAACGCGUUGCCAGUGUUUUAGUGUUCGAGCAUCCUUUAUCCUUACUGUGUGUAUCGUCUCAUGCAAUAACGUCCCACCACUUUAACCUAGAUAGGACUUUAAUUUGGUGAAGAAGAGAGAUUUGUAUGUUAUUCGGGGCGAUUUUUUGUUGUUCAGUGAAGUGCAGUUUCGCAUGCUUUAAGGCGACGUUCGGAAGGAAUGUUUACUUUGCUUAUUUGAUACAGAAUACAGAAGUCCUCGAUACAGCUCCAGGUUGAGCGUUGUCGUCUGGCUAUACAAUAUUUGGACCCAUCACCAACUAGAUUGCUAGAUUUUAUCAUGGAGCCUUCCAAGCCUGCACCUUCUCUGUCCAUGUGGUGACGGCCUUAAAAGACUGUGCUCUUCCCGUGAGAAGAACAGCCCACCAGAAAAGUUACCAGGCUUCUCAAGAAUUUCCCACAUACCGGUGACGACAGUUUCACUGGAGCUUACCAGGAACGCGGCAAAGAACAAUUAGCGUUAAUUUUCCAAACAGGGCCGUUACGUCAGUACUGCGCAUUGAAAAGUUUUUAACACAGUCGGAGCUUCAUCUGCCUCGCGACCGGUGCUUUUUUUUCCGGUGUGGCGGAGUGUCUCCUCCAGACUGUAGCCAUUGCUUAACCUCUUUGUUUGGUGUCGGUGCUAGACGGGUUGACCUAAGAGAGGGGUGCUUGUUUAAGACUACUUUAAGGAUCAAUCCGACGGACGGAUGCACCAAACUUUGAUAAGAUGUUUGUCUAUAAUAAGGGAUUCUUAAACCAAUGCUAUCUAUGUCAUCAGUGUAUGACUAGGUCAGGAAGUGAUUCUAGUGUCUUGUAGAACUCUCGUUUAGUAGGCUUCUUCUAGAGUAGGCGAGCCUUUAACAAAUGCUAUCUAUGUCAUCAGCGGAUGUCAGGAGUUCUUCCUCCUGGAAUAUUGGAUGAAUCUCUCUCGCUUCUUCUUUGACUUUACAACCACUGGUAGGUCCUUGACUUAGUUUGGAGACGAGAGAAGAUUCUGACGGGACUCGAAAUUUGGUCCUGUCCCUUCCUGGCGCUUUAGGUGCUGAGUGUUUUCCUAUCCCCUUUGACCCUGUCAGGCUGACAAGUCUCGUACUCCUUGGCGCGGGUUCCUUUGAAAAUCCUAAAAGAUCUCGGUCUGCCAUUACUGGCGUUCUUGGCGCACAGCGGCUAUACGGUCCUGCCACAGGGAAUCGUUUCAGCAAACCUUGGUGGCCUUGAAACGAUUGAAGAUCCGCUGGAGAUUGCAGUCUUGCACAAGAUUUGCGUAGAUCUGAUGACUCCUUCCGUUUCGGAACCUCUCACUGAUAGUUUUCCAACUAUUUUUUUAAAGAGUUGGGACAACAAAUUGAUCCUGUUGUGCAUAAAGUGGUUUCCUCGAAACUCGAACUAAUUUAGUGACUGAUAAAAACCAAUUCUUGCCUUCUUGAAUAUGAACAUUACGUAAGCCAUACGUUUGUCUCACCGACCGUACCGGCCGGUACGCUACAAUAUCUAACCGCGCUGCCAAUGUCAAGUUGAUUGCGCGUGCAUGCGUGUCCGAUAUUAUUAUUAUUUGCCAAUGCUUAUUGUUUGGCGAGGAUUUUAAACCCCUUUUACAGUCCAGGCCGUUUGGUUUUGCGUCGAUACUCGUUUGGGGUGGUUUUUUGUUUUGUUUCAUUCGCUCUCUCGCCCAGAUGCCCCGACCCUUUCAACGUCCUCACGGUACGCCACCAGUAGGCAAUUGACCACCCGUCGUUAGCAAUUGGCGAGCAAUGGGUGUAAUUUAUUUUUUAUGCAAAUAAUCCAAUCGAAAAUUCCCGCUCACUGUGGGUGUGUGUGUGUGUGUGUGUGUGUGUGUGUGUGUGUGUGUGUGUGUGUGUGGAGUAGCAGGUACUCCACCAUAAACCCCCUAUCGAACCCGUUCCCUGACGGCCGCUGAUUGACAUCGUACGGUGUGGCCAAACGGAUCGAUCGCAAGCACAGGUAGGUGGGGAGGAGGAGGAGGAGGAGGAGGAAAAAAAUAGAAAGAAAACAGUGAGCGAAUCGAUGGACGAAUGUAAUGGAUGGAUCGAUCAGCGGGGUUGGUUUGGUGCCCGGUAAAGGGAAAGAAAAUUUGCGACGAAAACAAAUACCCAAUAUUGCUGGACAUGUGGGUAAAGCGCAACGGCAAUGGUACGGUGCCGGAGGGAAGGGAAUACAACAGAAGACGAGGACGGAGGGGGGGAGGGGGGGAGGGGGCAACAGAAGAACAAAAGAAAAAAUCGAUCAAACGUAUAUUACCAUGCACGGGUCAGGUUGCAUGGAGCGUGUACACAGCAGCUUCAUGCAUAUAUUUAAUCGAACCAACCACUCGGACCGUGUUACCGUGAAAGGAAAACAACAUUGAGCAACAAAACCAACAAAAAAA